AGUGAACGCUGGCGGUAGGCCUAACACAUGCAAGUCGAACGGCAGCACAGUAAGAGCUUGCUCUUACGGGUGGCGAGUGGCGGACGGGUGAGGAAUACAUCGGAAUCUACUUUUUCGUGGGGGAUAACGUAGGGAAACUUACGCUAAUACCGCAUACGACCUACGGGUGAAAGCAGGGGAUCUUCGGACCUUGCGCGAUUGAAUGAGCCGAUGUCGGAUUAGCUAGUUGGCGGGGUAAAGGCCCACCAAGGCGACGAUCCGUAGCUGGUCUGAGAGGAUGAUCAGACACACUGGAACUGAGACACGGUCCAGACUCAGACGGGAGGAAGCAGUGGGGAAUAUUGGACAAUGGGCGCAAGCCUGAUCCAGCCAUACCGCGUGGGUGAAGAAGGCCUUCGGGUGGUAAAGCCCUUUUGUUGGGAAAGAAAAGCAGCAGGUUAAUACCCCGCUGUUCUGACGGUACCCAAAGAAUAAGCACCGGCUAACUUCGUG
rnacentral:rRNA from 1 species